ACGAGAUGGUUGGAUGGCAUCACUAACUCAAUGGACAUGUGUUUGAGCAAGCUCCGGGAGAUGGUGAAGGACGGGGAAGCUUGGCGUGCUGCAGUCCAUGGGGUCGCAGAGUCAGACACAGCUGAUCCACUGAACAAUAGCAACCAAGGCUUCCUUCCUCAGUUUCCUUGGCUUCAUCCUAAUUUCCUCCUUUUAAGCUGUGGGGGAAUGGAGCAGUCAGUUUACCCAUCUGAAAUGCAGGAUCAUGGGGGAUGAGCUGCCCCUGCACUUCCUACCUCCCCUUCAGCAUCAUUUGAUACUGAUGCUCACCUUCUCUGCUUUGAGGCUGUGACGUCAGGGCGAUGGAAGGUUAGGAGAGAGACACAUGAUUGUCAUGACGGAUGUUUGGGAUGAAAGUCAAUACCAUAAACAGAUUCAUCGUGACACUCCUUCUGGUGCAUCUUUCAUCUAGGGAAUCUCAAAGCCCUGGACAAAUGAAAUUGCUAUUGCACGUCCCGGCAUGCAUCCGCACACUCAUUUUACAUGGCUGAGGUCAUACAGUAUGAAUAAUUUAGCCUUAUCUGCACUUCACAUGAACAUAUGAGAAAACAGCUCUGCAGCAUAAAGGAAUAUUCCUGGGUCACAUAGUGAGUGGCAGAGCCUGGACCUCAGAGCUUUCGAUCCCCACGCCAGUGUCCUUUCUACUUCAUUCAUCCAUUCAUCCAUUCAUUCAUCCAACUGUGAGAACUGAGCUGACCUCCAGGUACUGUGCUGGGCUCUGAUAAUACAAACAAACAGGACAGGGAACAGUGCGAGGAGAGUUGUGUACUUGCUUUGAGUCCUAAAACCUAAGGGAAGGGUGGAGUGCCAAAAAGAUAAUAUUUUAAUGCAAUGUUUUUAAAAACUCACAUGCUAAACUAUGGCCCAUAGGCCUGCAGUUUAUUUUUGUGAAUCAAGUUUUGUUAAGAUUAAAUCUCAGCCUCUGUUUUGAGGAGCCCACAGUUUGAUCAGAGGAGAGAAGCCCACAUGGAGUAUUUAUUUAAUUCUCUGUGAGUGUCCUCAGGAAGCCAGCCAGGGGGUGCGGGGGAGAGUCGGGCAGGGAAGGAAAUGUGCAGAGGGACGGCUAUAUGAGAGCUGGGGUCAUGGAGGGGAAGGACAGCAGAGUUCUCUGGUGCAGGAGAGACAGGGUGAGGAGGCAGGGGAAGGGGUGGUGGGUGAGCAGGUCGCAGAGAUAAGGGAGAGGAGAGAGCAGUGCAGGGUGCACUGGGCUGAGAAGGGUCCUCAAAGGAUCCGGGGCUGGUGAACUACCCUCCGGCCGACACGAGAACAGGAGAAUAAGACCCAAGCCAGAGUGGGCAGCAUGCGUGGGUGCUAAGUUGCUUCAGUGGUGUCUGACUCUGUGCGAACCCAUGGACUGCAGCCUGCCAGGCUCCUUUGUCCAUGGAAUUCUCCAGGCAAGAAUACUG